rnacentral:rRNA from 1 species
UACGGGGGGGGCAAGCGUUGUUCGGAAUUACUGGGCGUAAAGGGCUCGUAGGCGGCCAACUAAGUCAGACGUGAAAUCCCCAGGCUCAACCUGGGAACUGCGUCUGAUACUGGAUGGCUUGAAUCCGGGAGAGGGAUGCAGAAUUCCAGGUGUAGCGGUGAAAUGCGUAGAUAUCUGGAGGAAUACCGGUGGCGAAGGCGGCAUCCUGGACCGAGAUUGACGCUGAGGCGCGAAAGCUAGGGUAGCAAACGGG